UUAAAUUGUAAAAAAGCGUGGGUU
rnacentral:miRNA from 1 species